GGAACUCGAUGUUCAAGUAUAAGCUGCUAACUUAAUACUUUAGCGGUUAAAUUCCGUUUAUGUUCCU
rnacentral:tRNA from 1 species